rnacentral:tRNA from 2 species
GCCGAGGUAGCUCAGAUCGGAGAGCGGCCGCCUUGUAAGCGGAUGGUCGCCGGUUCGAUCCCGGCCCUCGGCUCCA